rnacentral:tRNA from 1 species
CCCUGCAUAGUUUAAAGGAUAAAAUAUUUCGCUACGAACGAAAAGUUAGAGGUUCGAUUCCUCUUGUGGGGUCCA